GACGAACGCUGGCGGCGUGCUUAACACAUGCAAGUCGAACGGAAAGGCCCUGCUUUUGUGGGGUGCUCGAGUGGCGAACGGGUGAGUAACACGUGAGUAACCUGCCCUUGACUUUGGGAUAACUUCAGGAAACUGGGGCUAAUACCGGAUAGGAGCUCCUGCUGCAUGGUGGGGGUUGGAAAGUUUCGGCGGUUGGGGAUGGACUCGCGGCUUAUCAGCUUGUUGGUGGGGUAGUGGCUUACCAAGGCUUUGACGGGUAGCCGGCCUGAGAGGGUGACCGGCCACAUUGGGACUGAGAUACGGCCCAGACUCCUACGGGAGGCAGCAGUGGGGAAUAUUGCACAAUGGGCGGAAGCCUGAUGCAGCAACGCCGCGUGCGGGAUGACGGCCUUCGGGUUGUAAACCGCUUUCGCCUGUGACGAAGCGUGAGUGACGGUAAUGGGUAAAGAAGCACCGGCUAACUACGUGCCAGCAGCCGCGGUGAUACGUAGGGUGCGAGCGUUGUCCGGAUUUAUUGGGCGUAAAGGGCUCGUAGGUGGUUGAUCGCGUCGGAAGUGUAAUCUUGGGGCUUAACCCUGAGCGUGCUUUCGAUACGGGUUGACUUGAGGAAGGUAGGGGAGAAUGGAAUUCCUGGUGGAGCGGUGGAAUGCGCAGAUAUCAGGAGGAACACCAGUGGCGAAGGCGGUUCUCUGGGCCUUUCCUGACGCUGAGGAGCGAAAGCGUGGGGAGCGAACAGGCUUAGAUACCCUGGUAGUCCACGCUGUAAACGGUGGGUACUAGGUGUGGGGUCCAUUCCACGGGUUCCGUGCCGUAGCUAACGCUUUAAGUACCCCGCCUGGGGAGUACGGCCGCAAGGCUAAAACUCAAAGGAAUUGACGGGGCCCCGCACAAGCGGCGGAGCAUGCGGAUUAAUUCGAUGCAACGCGUAGAACCUUACCUGGGUUUGACAUGGAUCGGGAGUGCUCAGAGAUGGGUGUGCCUCUUUUGGGGUCGGUUCACAGGUGGUGCAUGGCUGUCGUCAGCUCGUGUCGUGAGAUGUUGGGUUAAGUCCCGCAACGAGCGCAACCCUUGUUCACUGUUGCCAGCACGUUAUGGUGGGGACUCAGUGGAGACCGCCGGGGUCAACUCGGAGGAGGGUGGGGAUGACGUCAAGUCAUCAUGCCCCUUAUGUCCAGGGCUUCACGCAUGCUACAAUGGCUGGUACAGAGAGUGGCGAGCCUGUGAGGGUGAGCGAAUCUCGGAAAGUCGGUCUCAGUUCGGAUUGGGGUCUGCAACUCGACCUCAUGAAGUCGGAGUCGCUAGUAAUCGCAGAUCAGCAACGCUGCGGUGAAUACGUUCCCGGGGCU
rnacentral:rRNA from 1 species